CGCAAGCCUGACGGAGCAAGACCGCGUGGGGGAGGAAGGCUCAUGGGUUGUAAACCCCUUUUCUCAGGGAAGAACCAAAUGACGGUACCUGAGGAAUCAGCCUCGGCUAACUCCGUGCCAGCAGCCGCGGUAAUACGGAGGAGGCAAGCGUUAUCCGGAAUGAUUGGGCGUAAAGCGUUCGUAGGUGGCUAUUCAAGUCUGCUGUCAAAGACAGAAGCUCAACUUCUGAAAGGCAGUGGAAACUGAGUAGCUGGAGUGCGGUAGGGGCAGAGGGAAUUCCCGGUGUAGCGGUGAAAUGCGUAGAGAUCGGGAAGAACACCGGUGGCGAAAGCGCUCUGCUGGGCCGCAACUGACACUGAGGGACGAAAGCUAGGGGAGCG
rnacentral:rRNA from 1 species